CCUACGGGCGGCUGCAGUAGGGAAUCUUCGGCAAUGGACGAAAGUCUGACCGAGCAACGCCGCGUGAGUGAAGAAGGUUUUCGGAUCGUAAAACUCUGUCUUCGGUGACGAAACGAGACGGUAGCCGAGGAGGAAGCCACGGCUAACUACGUGCCAGCAGCCGCGGUAAUACGUAGGUGGCAAGCGUUGUCCGGAAUUACUGGGCGUAAAGCGCUCGUAGGCGGGAUGUCAAGUCAAGGGUGAAAUCCCCGCGCUCAACGUGGGAACUGCCUUUGAAACUGGCAAACUGGAGUGUGUGAGAGGAUAGUGGAAUUCCAGGUGUAGGAGUGAAAUCCGUAGAUAUCUGGAGGAACAUCAGUGGCGAAGGCGACUAUCUGGCACAUAACUGACGCUGAGGAGCGAAAGCGUGGGUAGCAAACAGGAUUAGAUACCCGUGUAGUC
rnacentral:rRNA from 1 species